rnacentral:tRNA from 1 species
GGGCCUAUGGUCUAGUGGUACGACGCCGCCUUUGCAAGGCGGAGAGGGGAGUUCGAUUCUCCCUAGGUCCA